rnacentral:rRNA from 1 species
UGGGGAAUAUUGGACAAUGGGCGCAAGCCUGAUCCAGCCAUGCCGCGGGAGUGAUGAAGGCCCUAGGGUUGUAAAGCCCUUUCACCGGUGAAGAUAAUGACGGUAACCGGAGAAGAAGCCCCGGCUAACUUCGUGCCAGCAGCCGCGGUAAUACGAAGGGGGCUAGCGUUGUUCGGAUUUACUGGGCGUAAAGCGCACGUAGGCGGACUAUUAAGUCAGGGGUGAAAUCCCGGGGCUCAACCCCGGAACUGCCGUUGAUACUGGUAGUCUUGAGUUCGAGAGAGGGGAGUGGAAUUCCGAGUGUAGAGGUUAAAUUCGUAGAUAUUCGGAGGAACACCAGUGGCGAAGGCGGCGCACUGGCUCGAUACUGAAGCUGAGGUGCGGAAGCGUGGGGAGCAAACAGG